UCCUCUCACUUGAUUUUCAAUUUUCCCCAAGACAUCCCCGGCCCCUCUUUCUUCAGGCAGCAAUCCGAAUGAUUUGAUUGAACUCACGGAACUUGUCGCAUCAGCAUCACCAGGAAAAAAUAGGAAAGGAUGUCUACCGACUUUAAAUCCAUCCCUCUAAUCGAUAUCGGUCCCCUCUUGGCCAAAUGCGAUGAUCCGGACAUGGGUGAAGACCCGGGCGUGGCUGAAGUCGUCCGGCAGUUGGAUCGGGCUUGUAGGGAGGCUGGUUUCUUCUACGUGAAGGGCCAUGGUAUUCCCGAGUCCCUCAUUAAAAAGGUUAGAACCUCGACGCGCGAAUUUUUCAAACUUCCUUAUGAAGAGAAGUCGAAGAUCAAGAUGACUCCAGUGGCAGGAUACAGGGGAUACCAGAGAGUUGGUGAAAAUAUUACAAAAGGUGUACCUGACAUGCACGAGGCCAUUGACUGUUACAGAGAAGUGAGGCAAGGGAUGUAUGGAGAUCUUGGCAAGGUCAUGGAAGGAUGUAAUCAGUGGCCAGUUAAUCCUCCAGAUUUAAAGCCAAUCAUGGAGGAAUAUGUUAGCCUUUGCACUGAACUUUCAAGAAAGAUCAUGAGAGGUAUUGCAUUAGCAUUAGGUGGAUCCCCAAAUGAAUUUGAAGGUCAAAGAGCUGGAGAUCCAUUUUGGGUAUUGCGUAUAAUUGGUUAUCCAGGUGCAUCAAAAGCAAAUGGCCUUGGAACUCCUGAAAAUGACAUUGGAUGCGGAGCGCACACUGAUUAUGGUUUGUUGACUCUGGUGAAUCAGGAUGAUGACAUCACUGCUCUUCAGGUCAAGAACCUCUCUGGUGAGUGGAUCUCUGCUGUUCCUAUUCCCGGAACAUUUGUUUGCAACAUAGGUGACAUGCUUAAGAUUUGGUCCAAUGGCCUAUAUGACUCAACAUUGCAUCGCGUAAUUAAUAGUUGCCCAAGAUAUCGAGUCUGUGUAGCAUACUUUUAUGAGCCGAAUUUCGAUGUCCCGGUGGAGCCUUUAGAUUUCUGUGUGAGGAGAACCGGUGGAACCAGGAAGUUUGGAAGAGCAUGCUAUGGAGAGCAUUUAGUUAGCAAAGUCCAAACAAAUUUUGUGGAGUAAAAUACAAAAUCCCAUCUCUUCCAUUGUCAGUUUAAGCUUGACAUAAAUGAUCUCUCUGCUGUGGAUACUGAAUUUGUAAAGUCAUGGAAUAAUAGUUGCACGUAUUUCUUCCGAAGUCCUUAAUAACGGGGUUGACUGUGGGUGCUACAUUUAUCCUGUUUUUAUUCUUUGGCUAUUGGAUUUUCACUUGCAGGAUCUUGAAUUUGUAGUGUAUCAUGGUUUACUUGACCAUGAGACUACUGUACUAAUAGACAAAGGGUCCUUCUAGA